rnacentral:rRNA from 1 species
ACAGUGGACGCGAGCAUCUGUGGCCAAGUUUUUAAGGGCGCACGGUGGAUGCCUUGGCACCAGGAACCGAUGAAGGACGUGGGAGGCCACGAUAGGCCCCGGGGAGUCGUCAACCAGGCUUUGAUCCGGGGGUGUCCGAAUGGGGAAACCCGGCAGUCGUCAUGGGCUGUCACCCUUGCCUGAACACAUAGGGCAAGUGGAGGGAACGCGGGAAGUGAAACAUCUCAGUACCCGCAGGAAGAGAAAACAACCGUGAUUCCGGGAGUAGUGGCGAGCGAAACCGGAUGAGGCCAAACCGUAUGCGUGUGAGACCCGGCAGGGGUUGCGCAUUCGGGGUUGUGGGAUCUCUCUUUCAUGGUCUGCCGGCCAUGAGACGAGUCAGAAACCGUUGAUGUAGGCGAAGGACAUGCGAAAGGUCCGGCGUAGAGGGUAAGACCCCCGUAGUCGAAACGUCAGCGGCUCGUUUGAGAGACACCCAAGUAGCACGGGGCCCGAGAAAUCCCGUGUGAAUCUGGCGGGACCACCCGCUAAGCCUAAAUAUUCCCUGGUGACCGAUAGCGGAUAGUACCGUGAGGGAAUGGUGAAAAGUACCGCGGGAGCGGAGUGAAAUAGUACCUGAAACCGUGUGCCUACAAGCCGUGGGAGCGUCGCGCAAGGACUUGUCCUUGCGUCGUGACUGCGUGCCUUUUGAAGAAUGAGCCUGCGAGUUUGCGGUGUGUUGCGAGGUUAACCCGGGUGGGGAAGCCGUAGCGAAAGCGAGUCCGAACAGGGCGUUUCAGUAGCACGCUCAAGACCCGAAGCGGAGUGAUCUAGCCAUGGGCAGGUUGAAGCGGAGGUAAGACUUCGUGGAGGACCGAACCCACCAGGGUUGAAAACCUGGGGGAUGACCUGUGGUUAGGGGUGAAAGGCCAAUCAAACUCCGUGAUAGCUGGUUCUCCCCGAAAUGCAUUUAGGUGCAGCGUCGUGUGUUUCUUGCCGGAGGUAGAGCACUGGAUAGGCGAUGGGCCCUACCGGGUUACUGACCUUAGCCAAACUCCGAAUGCCGGUAAGUGAGAGCGCGGCAGUGAGACUGUGGGGGAUAAGCUCCAUGGUCGAGAGGGAAACAGCCCAGAGCAUCGACUAAGGCCCCUAAGCGUACGCUAAGUGGGAAAGGAUGUGGAGUCGCACAGACAACCAGGAGGUUGGCUUAGAAGCAGCCACCCUUGAAAGAGUGCGUAAUAGCUCACUGGUCUAGUGAUUCCGCGCCGACAAUGUAGCGGGGCUCAAGCGUACCGCCGAAGUCGUGUCAUUGCAGCAGAUAGCCCCAACGGGUGCUGUGAUGGGUAGGGGAGCGUCGUCUGCCGGGUGAAGCAGCCGCGGAAGCGAGUUGUGGACGGUUGACGAGUGAGAAUGCAGGCAUGAGUAGCGAUUCACACGUGAGAAACGUGUGCGCCGAUUGACUAAGGGUUCCUGGGUCAAGCUGAUCUGCCCAGGGUAAGUCGGGACCUAAGGCGAGGCCGACAGGCGUAGUCGAUGGAUAACCGGUUGAUAUUCCGGUACCCGCUGUGAAGCGUCAAACAUCGAAUCCAGUGAUGCUAAGCCCGUGAAGCCGCCGGCUGAGUCUUCGGACGAGGUCGGAGUGGUGGAGCCGGUGACCCGAGCUGGUAGUAGGUGAGUGAUGGGGUGACGCAGGAAGGUAGUCCAUCCCGGGCGGUGGUUGUCCCGGGGUAAGGGUGUAGGACGUCAGGUAGGCAAAUCCGCCUGGCAUGUGUCUGAGACCUGAUGCCGAGCCGAUUGUGGUGAAGUGGAUGAUCCUAUGCUGUCGAGAAAAGCCUCUAGCGAGUUUCAUGGCGGCCCGUACCCUAAACCGACUCAGGUGGUCAGGUAGAGAAUACCGAGGCGUUCGGGUGAACUAUGGUUAAGGAACUCGGCAAAAUGCCCCCGUAACUUCGGGAGAAGGGGGGCCACAUCCGGUGAUGAGCUUCGCGCUCUGAGCUGGGGGUGGCCGCAGAGACCAGCGAGAAGCGACUGUUUACUAAAAACACAGGUCCGUGCGAAGCCGUAAGGCGAUGUAUACGGACUGACGCCUGCCCGGUGCUGGAACGUUAAGGGGACCGGUUAGCUUGGAUUCGUCCAGGCGAAGCUGAGAACUUAAGCGCCAGUAAACGGCGGUGGUAACUAUAACCAUCCUAAGGUAGCGAAAUUCCUUGUCGGGUAAGUUCCGACCUGCACGAAUGGCGUAACGACUUCUCGACUGUCUCAACCAUAGGCCCGGUGAAAUUGCACUACGAGUAAAGAUGCUCGUUUCGCGCAGCAGGACGGAAAGACCCCGGGACCUUUACUACAGUUUGAUAUUGGUGUUCGGUUCGGCUUGUGUAGGAUAGCUGGGAGACUGUGAACAUCGGACGCCAGUUCGGUGGGAGUCGUCGUUGAAAUACCAGUCUGGUCGUGCUGGAUGUCUAACCUGGGUCCGUGAUCCGGAUCAGGGACAGUGUCUGAUGGGUAGUUUAACUGGGGCGGUUGCCUCCUAAAGGGUAACGGAGGCGCCCAAAGGUUCCCUCAGCCUGGUUGGCAAUCAGGUGUUGAGUGUAAGUGCACAAGGGAGCUUGACUGUGAGACCGACGGGUCGAGCAGGGACGAAAGUCGGGACUAGUGAUCCGGCGGUGGCUUGUGGAAGCGCCGUCGCUCAACGGAUAAAAGGUACCCCGGGGAUAACAGGCUGAUCUUCCCCAAGAGUCCAUAUCGACGGGAUGGUUUGGCACCUCGAUGUCGGCUCGUCGCAUCCUGGGGCUGGAGUCGGUCCCAAGGGUUGGGCUGUUCGCCCAUUAAAGCGGUACGCGAGCUGGGUUUAGAACGUCGUGAGACAGUUCGGUCCCUAUCCGCUGUGCGCGUAGGAGUCUUGAGAAGGGCUGUCCCUAGUACGAGAGGACCGGGACGGACGAACCUCUGGUGUGCCAGUUGUUCUGCCAAGGGCAUGGCUGGUUGGCUACGUUCGGGAGGGAUAACCGCUGAAAGCAUCUAAGCGGGAAGCCUGCUUCGAGAUGAGGACUCCCACCUCCUAGAGAGGGUAAGGCUCCCAGUAGACGACUGGGUUGAUAGGCCGGAUAUGGAAGCACGGUAACGUGUGGAGUUGACCGGUACUAAUAGGCCGAGGGCUUGUCCUCAGUUG